UUGUAGUACUUAACUUUUAUUAGACCUGUCCUACAAUAAAAUACAUAAAACAAUUCUUCAUCAUUUCCAGAUUAUCAUCCCAGAGCCCUUCAGCCCACACACAGCUUCUUCAGGAAAUGCUGACAGCAUGGUAUACACAUGGCUUCCAUGUUUGUCAUGCUUCCAAAGUUUGCUUUUGAGUUUAAUUUCUUUCUUUUCCUUCCUUCCUUCCUUCCUUCCUUCCUUCCUUCCUUCCUUCCUUCCUUCCUUCCUUCCUUCCUUCCUUCCUUCUUUCCUUCCUUCCUUCAUUGGCUAAACUCCCCCCACAGGACCUGAGUGAGCAGAAGGUUUUUCAGAUUUACAGUCUGAACUAUUUCUUGAGCAAUUUGGGAACUCAUUUCUAAAGCAGUCUUCAGAUUCACACAACAUAGUUUGUGAGGGGGUAUGCCCAGAGCUGGUAGGAAAGGCAAAACAGCAUUUUGACACUGAGGGAUUUAGCAGAAACAUCUGACCCAACAAGUAAAAACUCUUUUAAAGGUUCAGUCAAGUUUAUUCCCAUCACAUUCCUCUGGAAUGCCCAACAGGCACAUGUUUUGUCAAUGAAAAUUAUUUUCACUCAUUGAUGUUUUGUUUGGCAAGAACCAUUUCUUUGAACAAUUUCUUAUUAAUCAUCUAUAAUUUUUCACUUCUGACAGUGUUAUCACCAGUGCUUUCAGUAACUGCAUAUUUAUACAACAGCCAAACUUCAACCUGUAUUCAGUUUUUAUCUGUCUCCUGGGAAUGUAAUUUGGAAAAAAAGUUACCAAUGUAUUUACAACCAAAUUUCAGAUCUUCAACAUUACAGAAGAGUAAGAGAUUGCAGAUUGCUUCUGUGGACUUAUUGAAGGUGGAUCUGGCUGUUGGUGGAGAUCCCUAGACUGCGUGAGGCCAUGGGCAUGAUCUGGAGACACAGCAGGUUGUACCAGAAGCAUGGCUGAGGAAGCCUGAGGAAACUUACAAUCAUGGCAGA